AGAGAUGGCUCAGAGGUUAAGAGCACUGGCUGUUCUUUCAGAGAACCUGAGUUCAAUUCCCAGCAUCACUU
rfam:Cricetulus griseus cell line CHO-K1, whole genome shotgun sequence.